UGUACCGUGGUGCAGUUGGUAAACGCGUUAGCGUACAUUGCCGAUGCCGCUGGUUCGAGUCCAGCCGGUACCC
rnacentral:tRNA from 1 species